rnacentral:rRNA from 1 species
UGGGCACGGCGAUGCUUACACAUGCAAGUCGAUUCGAUUUACCUUCGGGUAUUGAGGAUGGCGGACGGGUGAGUAACGCGUAAGGAACUUGCCUCUUGGUCUGGGACAACUGUUGGAAACGACAGCUAAUACCGGAUAUUAUGAGAUUCUCGCAUGGGAAACUUAUGAAAGCUAUAUGCGCCAAGAGAGAGCCCUGCGUUCCAUUAGCUAGUUGGUGGGGUAACGGCCCACCAAGGCGACGAUGGAUAGCCGGCCUGAGAGGGUGAACGGCCACAAGGGGACUGAGACACGGCCCUUACUCCUACGGGAGGCAGCAGUGGGGAAUAUUGGACAAUGGGCCACAAGCCUGAUCCAGCAAUUCUGUGUGCACGAUGAAGGUCUUCGGAUUGUAAAGUGCUUUCAGUUGGGAAGAAGAAAGUGACGGUACCAACAGAAGAAGCGACGGCUAAAUACGUGCCAGCAGCCGCGGUAAUACGUAUGUCGCAAGCGUUAUCCGGAUUUAUUGGGCGUAAAGCGCGUCUAGGCGGAAAAAUAAGUCUGAUGUUAAAAUGCGGGGCUCAACUCCGUAUUGCGUUGGAAACUGUUUUUCUAGAGUACUGGAGAGGUGGGCGGAACUACAAGUGUAGAGGUGAAAUUCGUAGAUAUUUGUAGGAAUGCCGAUGGAGAAGUCAGCUCACUGGACAGAUACUGACGCUAAAGCGCGAAAGCGUGCGGAGCAAACAGGAUUAGAUACCCUGGUAGUCCACGCCGUAAACGAUGAUCACUAGGUGUUGGGGGUCGAACCCCAGCGCCCAAGCUAACGCGAUAACUGAUCCGCCUGGGGAGUACACACGCGAGUGUGAAACUCAAAGGAAUUGACGGGGACCCCGCACAAGCGGUGGAUCAUGUGGUUUAAUUCGACUCAACGCGAGAAACCUUACCAGCGUUUGACAUCCUAAGGAAGUUUCCAGAGAGGGAUUCGUGCCAGCUUGCCCGAAAACUUAAAUGACAAGUGAUGCAUAGCCUGUCGUCACCUGGUGCUCGUGCAAAGAUAGAGUUUAAGUGCCGACGACCUA